AACGAACGCUGGCGGCAGGCUUAACACAUGCAAGUCGAGCGCCCCGCAAGGGGAGCGGCAGACGGGUGAGUAACGCGUGGGAAUCUACCCAUCUCUACGGAAUAACGCAUGGAAACGUGUGCUAAUACCGUAUACGUCCUUCGGGAGAAAGCUUUCUCGGAGAUGGAUGAGCCCGCGUUGGAUUAGCUAGUUGGUGGGGUAAACGCCUACCAAGGUGAGGAUCCAUAGCUGGUCUGAGAGGAUGAUCAGCCACAAUGGGGCUGAUACACGGCCCAGACGCCGCCGGGUGGCAGCAGUGGGGAAUAUUGGACAGUUGGCGCAAGCCUGAUCCAGCCAUGCCGCGUGGGUUAUGAAGGCCCUAGGGUUGUAAAGCUCUUUCACCGGUGAAGAUAGUGACGGUAACCGGAGAAGAAGCCCCGGCUAACUUCGUGCCAGCCGCCGCGGUAACAC
rnacentral:rRNA from 1 species